UCACUUAUUUGUUGGGUCGACCGGCAGCGGCACUCCGUCUCACCUCGGUGCAACCUAUGGCGGUCUCGCUCCCCCGCGAUCGGCAGCGGCCCCUCUCCCCAUACCGGGGUGGACACGCUUCCCACGACCGGCAACAGCACCUCCACCAUGACGGCGUCAUCCUCAACCGCGGCAGCGAGGUGGAGCUCUCAUCCUCCCGGCCUUCUCCCCGGUCCUAAGAUUCCGCAGGCGGCGGCUUCGUGCCGAGUUCUCUGGCCGGAGCUUCUAAGCCGUUGCUCUCCUGGUCUUCUCUCGCCUCCUCGGAUCCCACAGGAUGCGGCCCUGGUCGGAGUUCUCCAUCUCCCCAGCAGGCAUGCGGAUGCGGGACGGAGCUUCCCGGUGAGUGCCCAUGCGACGGCGGACCCUGGCCGGUUCCCCGCGGUGGCGGCAUCCACCAGGUUCCGAUCUUUCAUCCCCAUAUGGUGUCGGCGCCCCUCGCCCGGAAUGGCUCUAGGCACAGCGGUGGCUUUUCUGUGGAAGGACACGGUGCUCUCUCUCCCAUGAUUGGUGGCAGUCUGAUUCUGAUCCACUUGCGAUAGGCAUCGACAUUCUAAUUCAAUUUACUAGGAACAUGAGCUCGUUUGUACAUCUGCACCAUUCUCCUAUUAGCGUAUAUACACGCCAGACUUGGAAGCCAUCAUGAAAACCACCGUGAAGCUGGAUAUCUUUUUUAAUGAAUUGUCUGAUACUUCGUCUUUCAAUACUCUUGUAUUACUGGAUACUUUUUUAGAUUAUAGUAUCAAUUCAUACAUAUGUAGUAUGUACAAAUUCUACAUAUGUUUGCAUGAAGUAUUUGUUCAUAGUCUUAUACUGGAA